rnacentral:tRNA from 1 species
GCCUUAGUAGUUUAAUUAAAACAUCAGUCUUGUAAACUGAAGAUAGAUAUUAUUAUUCUCUAAAGCA